AUGGGCAGAUCAUACCGGCCUAGCGCAGCUGACUCGUUGYGAUGACACCGGAGUUAAAAAGGGCCUCUAAACAAAACAUGUAUGGUGCGAUCAUACCAGUACUAAUGCAUCGGAUCCCAUYAGAACUCUGCAAUUAAGCGUGCUUGUGCUAGAGUAGUACUAGGAAGGGUGACCCCUUGGGAAGUCCUCGUGUUGCACCCAUUGGUGCGAUCAUUCCAGCACUAAG
rnacentral:rRNA from 1 species